rnacentral:rRNA from 1 species
AACGAACGCUGGCGGCAGGCUUAACACAUGCAAGUCGAGCGCCCCGCAAGGGGAGCGGCAGACGGGUGAGUAACGCGUGGGAAUCUACCCAUCUCUACGGAAUAACGCAUGGAAACGUGUGCUAAUACCGUAUACGUCCUUCGGGAGAAAGAUUUAUCGGAGAUGGAUGAGCCCGCGUUGGAUUAGCUAGUUGGUGGGGUAAAGGCCUACCAAGGCGACGAUCCAUAGCUGGUCUGAGAGGAUGAUCAGCCACACUGGGACUGAGACACGGCCCAGACUCCUACGGGAGGCAGCAGUGGGGAAUAUUGGACAAUGGGCGCAAGCCUGAUCCAGCCAUGCCGCGUGAGUGGUGAAGGCCCUAGGGUCGUAAAGCUCUUUCACCGGUGAAGAUAAUGACGGUAACCGGAGAAGAAGCCCCGGCUAACUUCGUGCCAGCCGCCGCGGUAAAAC